CCUACGGGAGGCAGCAGUGGGGGAUAUUGGACAAUGGGGGGAACCCUGAUCCAGCGACGCCGCGUGAGUGAAGAAGUAUUUCGGUAUGUAAAGCUCUGUCAGAAGGGAAGAAAGAAAUGACGGUACCUGACCAAGAAGCCCCGGCUAACUACGUGCCAGCAGCCGCGGUAAUACGGAGGGGGCAAGCGUUAUCCGGAAUUACUGGGGGUAAAGGGAGCGUAGACGGGUAAGUAAGUCUGGAGGGAAAGGCCGGGGCCCAACCCCUGGACUGCUCUGGAAACUAUUGAACUUGAGUGCAGGAGGGGUAAGCGGAAUUCCUAGUGUAGCGGUGAAAUGCGUAGAUAUUAGGAGGAACACCAGUGGCGAAGGCGGCUUACUGGACUGUAACUGACGUUGAGGCUCGAAAGCGUGGGGAGCAAACAGGAUUAGAUACCCGAGUAGUC
rnacentral:rRNA from 1 species